GAUGAAGAACGCAGCGAAAUGCGAUACGUAAUGUGAAUUGCAGAAUUCAGUGAAUCAUCGAGUCUUUGAACGCACAUUGCGCCCCCUGGUAUUCCGGGGGGCAUGCCUGUCCGAGCGUCAUUGCUGCCCUCAAGCACGGCUUGUGUGUUGGGCCUCCGUCCUCCUCCCGGGGGACGGGCCCGAAAGGCAGCGGCGGCACCGCGUCCGGUCCUCGAGCGUAUGGGGCUUCGUCACCCGCUCUUGUAGGCCCGGCCGGCGCUUGCCGACACAUCAAUCUUUUUUCCAGGUUGACCUCGGAUCAGGUAGGGAUACCCGCUGAACUUAAGCACAUCAAUAAGCGGAGGA
rnacentral:misc_RNA from 1 species